rnacentral:lncRNA from 1 species
UAAUGAAAUAGCUUUCCAGUACUGUAUUCGGGUGCCUUUCAGAUUAAACCAGUUUAGUACCCACAUGAAGCACCUUGAUUUUUGAAAAUGUCACCGAGGAAUAAAAUCUACAUCUGAGAAGAAGAAAUUAAUGAAUAUGGAACUAGAAAAUGAAGGCAAAACAGGGCAAGAUACUGAACCUCCAGGUUCUUGCCCUGAGGCACCUGUGAAUGGGUGGCCAUGUCCAAUACCUCCUCCUGUGUGAAGUCCUCCCAGACACAGGGAAAAGUUCCCAAUGCACAGCAUCACUCCUGCAGCAGUAACAAUGCCUCCAGAGGGAUGGAGCUCACCAAGGAGAAUCAGCUGGAUCACACUAAGGAGCAGAAAAGCAGUGGUGCUCAAGGCUUCACAGUCAUCAGGGCAAGAAGCGUGUGUUGCUUAAUGCAAUGAAACUGGUACCCCAUGCAGCAACAUGAUUCUGAGGGCAUAUGGUCAAAUGCAGUGCAUGUUUUUCUACCAGAACUGGUUUGUGUACCACACAGCUCACGUG